rnacentral:rRNA from 1 species
UAUCCGGAAUUAUUGGGCGUAAAGGGCUCGUAGGCGGUUCGUCGCGUCCGGUGUGAAAGUCCAUCGCUUAACGGUGGAUCCGCGCCGGGUACGGGCGGGCUUGAGUGCGGUAGGGGAGACUGGAAUUCCCGGUGUAACGGUGGAAUGUGUAGAUAUCGGGAAGAACACCAAUGGCGAAGGCAGGUCUCUGGGCCGUUACUGACGCUGAGGAGCGAAAGCGUGGGGAGCGAACAGGAUUACAUACCCUGGUACUCCACGCCGUAAACGGUGGAUGCUGGAUGUGGGGCCCGUACCCCGGGUCCGUGUC